rnacentral:misc_RNA from 1 species
AAAGUCGUAACAAGGUUUCCGUAGGUGAACCUGCGGAAGGAUCAUUAAAAAAAAAAGUUGUGCGAGGCGGUCCCAGGCAUUGCCAGGUGGCCGCUUAGACAUCAACACCCUCUGUAUAUCUACUGCGUUGCUUUGGCGGGACGGCAGCCAACAGCUCUGCUGGGAGGCUGUCCGCAGGGCCUCUCAAGACCCCGCGAGUGCCCGCCAGAGGACCACCGAACUCAAUGUUAAACCAUGAUGUCUGAGCUUUACAAGCAAUAAGUUAAAACUUUCAACAACGGAUCUCUUGGUUCUC